rnacentral:rRNA from 1 species
UACGGGGGGGGCAAGCGUUGUUCGGAAUUACUGGGCGUAAAGGGCUCGUAGGCGGCCAACUAAGUCAGACGUGAAAUCCCUCGGCUUAACCGGGGAACUGCAUCUGAUACUGGAUGGCUUGAGUUCGGGAGAGGGAUGCGGAAUUCCAGGUGUAGCGGUGAAAUGCGUAGAUAUCAGGAAGAACACCUAUGGCGAAGGCAGCUCUCUGGGACGGUACUGACGCUGAGACGCGAAAGCGUGGGGAGCGAACAGG